GUCAACUUGGCCGAGUGGUUAAGGCGACAGACUAGAAAUCUGUUGGGGUUUCCCCGCACAGGUUCAAAUCCUGUAGUUGACG
rnacentral:tRNA from 3 species